rnacentral:lncRNA from 12 species
AUGAAACCAAAGAUGAAAUUGCCAAAGUUAUUUCUGUGUCUCUUCAAAUACAAGCUUGCAGUGGGAUCUUUGACAUACAAUACCUCCACAGCAUGUGUUCCAAAGAACUGCCUUAAAAGAUUUGAAAUUCAGUAUAAGGAAGCAGAUGUGGAUUACUUCAAGGGUUUUGAUUGUUCUGAAGGUUGGAGUUGUUUCCUAGAUGCUGAAGCAAAUAACAGGACAUGUAAAAGACUGUGGUUGAAGAAAACUGUCUGA